rnacentral:rRNA from 1 species
GAGGCAGCAGUGAGGAAUAUUGGUCAAUGGGCGAGAGCCUGAACCAGCCAAGUAGCGUGAAGGAUGAAGGUUCUAUGGAUUGUAAACUUCUUUUAUAAGGGAAUAACGGGCGCUACGUGUAGCGCUGUGCAUGUACCUUAUGAAUAAGCAUCGGCUAACUCCGUGCCAGCAGCCGCGGUAAUACGGAGGAUGCGAGCGUUAUCCGGAUUUAUUGGGUUUAAAGGGAGCGUAGGCGG